GCCGAAGUGGUGAAAUUGGUAGACACGCCAUCUUGAGGGGGUGGUGGGUGAAAACCCGUAUCGGUUCGAGUCCGAUCUUCGGCACCA
rnacentral:tRNA from 1 species